GGGGAUUUAGCUUAGUGGCAUAAGCACCUGGCUUGCAAGCAUGCGGUUGUGAGUUCAAUCCCCA
rnacentral:tRNA from 1 species